AGUCCUCAAGUCCUCAACUCGACCCUCUAUUGACAGUGGUUCCUCCGUCUUGUUCCAUCAUGUUUGCUAAGUGCCAGACUACGUGAAAAUUACUGAAGAGAAAUGGUGUCCCUCCGGCCAGAAUGCCACCCAGGAGCUCGAAUGACCCUUUGAUAAGCUAAGUCAACUGCUGUCACUCCCUGGCUACCCAUCUCUCUCUCUGAAGAGCACCUAAAGCCCUGACUCAGGCCCAGGAGGCUCUGCACUGACUGGGCCCUGCUCCUCCCCGGCCCCCUCUCCCGCCGCUCUCCAGGGUCGAGGAGCCCACACCCUGCCUCAGAGCUCCUGUGCUGGCUCUUCCCUCUCCCUGGAAUGCUUUUCCAUGCAGCUGGUCCCAUCGAUGCACGCGGCGCCCUGCUCCAACAGCUCUCCUUCCCCACCCUUUCUAAAAUGGCACCCUUUCAGUACCCAGCCCCUUUCACCUGCCCCUCCAGAUCCGCUCACUCACCACUUCUCCACCCUGCGCAGGGCCCUGGGAGGCUGGCCGCUCUGCCUGCAGGGACAGGCCCCACACCCUCUGGCUUCCGUUCAGCAGAGAACAGGCAGGAUCCCGGAAGGUGGGAGGGGGCAGGAGGCCAGGGCAUUAAUCCCUGGACUGGCUCUCUCCCUGCAGGGUGGCUGCCGCCCACUGGCCCCUCAAUGGCCACAGCCUCAGCUCUUAGCAGAAGGGCCUCACCUCGGCUUCUCUCCAGGUUCUAGUAACUGCUCCCUCCCCUCCCUCUCACUCACCCAGGUCUGGCUACCUAUGCUGUGCUCCCCUAUACCUGGCCCACACCCUUGGAGGUGACCCUUUUAUUAAAUUUUCCUCACAUUACCCA